AAUCCCCUCUGCGCCGGCCGGCGCCCGACGGCCCGAUUCAGCGCCUCCCGCCGGAGACCGCCCGCCGCCGACGAGGGGCACGCCGGUGAUCUCCCCCAGCCCGCCUGCCCCUCUUUCAUAUCCGUUCUACUCCUUCUCUCUCGGCCCCCUCGAGCUCGCCUCGAUCCAUGGCCUCUCCUUAAACCUAGCUCCGGUCACGGCCACGACCGGCUUCGCAGCUCCCGGCCGCCAUCGCCUGCGCCUCCCCCCGUGUCUCCCUCACCUCGCAUGUGCAGCACCGUGGUUGUACAUCGCCAGCGCCAUCAGCUACAGCCCCGCUCUAAUCCACCUGCAAGCCAUGGACAGCGGCCUGGCUGCUUACUCGUCGCUGGCCUACCAGUACCUCCACCAACAUCUCAUCCAUCUAGAUCAGGGGCGCUUUAAUUUCAGCAGAUUUUCUUCUUCUUUGCAACAUGGAUAAUCCAGAUGUUUUCCUAUGCCUUGAAGAGUUGUUGAUGGAUGAUAUACAUAGGCUACCAGGUGGUAGCUCCAAUGUUGCAACUGAGGUCAGCAAUGGGUGCUUCUCCUGGGAUGGCUCACCUGAGAUACCAACGUUGAAGGAUCUGAAUUUUCAAGCUCGGCAAGGCAUGCGUGUUGCACUUUGUGGGACGGUCGGCUCUGGAAAAUCAAGUUUGAUCACUUGAAUUCUUGGUAUGGUGCCAAAGCUAUUAGGAGAGGCCAAGACUUGCGGAACAAUGGCAUAUGUCAGCCACAAGGCAUGGAUACAGAGCGGCAAAAUUCAGCAUAACAUACUGCUCGGCAAGGAGAUGGAGAGUGAGGAGUAUGGCAGGGUCCUUGAGUGGUAUUCGCUAAAGAAAUACUUGGAGAUCAAAAUCAUUGGAGAGUGAGGCUGCACUCUUAGUGGCAGGCAGAAACAAAGGAUUCAGAUAGCCCGAGCAUUGUGAUGUAUGCUGACAACUAUUUUGUUCCAUGAUCCGUUCAACGCAGUUGAUGCUCAUACAGGAUCCUAAUUUUCCAAGAAUCUUUGCUGAACUCCCUUGGUGUUAGUUGUUCUUGAACCGAAGAAACGUGCGGUCUGGAAUUGACAUCAUUCAGUUCCUUGAUGAAAACAAA